rnacentral:lncRNA from 1 species
CUCGACUCUUAGUUCCACCUAUCUUGCUUUCCUAUUGGCUAACAGUACUUUAUUUAUCAACCAAUAAGACAAACAUAUAUACAGAAGGACCUCCCCCAUAAAAAGAUUUUCAAUAAAAGGAAAGAAUGUUGCUGAGGCUUCAGCUGACACAGCAAUAUCAAAGCAUUCAAACAGAAGAAUGACAGCUGGAAAGGGACAAGCUUGGAAGAAAGUCCAAUUUAUAUCUCCCAUUAUAAAGAAGACUAUAUGUUGUCAAUGCUAAACCUGCAACAGGUAACUGAAAACAAGUUUAAAAGCCUUCAUCCAGCAGCGGAUGGAAGUAGAAGCAGACACCCACAGCUAAACAGUGAACUGAACUGGAAUCCAGUUGCAGAGAAGGAGUGAUGAGCAAAGGGGUCCAUACCAGGCUGGUGAAACCCACAGAAACAGCUGAUCUGAACAAUUAGGUGCUCUUGGUCCCCAGACUGAUCACUGGAAACCAGCAUGGAACUGAUCCAGACCCCAUGAACAUGGGUGUCCAUGAUGAGGCCUCAGAAAUCUAUGGGGCCUCUUGUAGUAGUUGGAUGCUGAGUUUAACUGACUUUCUUUGCAAAACUUCCAGGAGCUAGUUCCUUACAUAAGAAUCUCACAGAGCCUUCAUCCAGUAGCUGAUGGAAGCAGAGGCAAACACCCACAGCUAAUCAUUGAACUGAACUCUGGAAUCCAGUUGCAGAGAAGGAGGAAUGAUGGGCAAAAGGGUCAAGACCAGGCUGGAGAAACCCACAGAAACAGCUGACCUGAACAAGGGGGAGUUCAUAGACCCAAGACUGACAACUGGGAAAACAACAUAGGACUGUUCCAGGUCCCCUGAGUGAAGACAUCAGUUUGGAGGUCUGCUUAAUCUAUGGAGCCUCUUGUAGUAGAUCAGUACUUAUCCCUACCAUAGGAAUGGACUUUGGGAGCUCAUUUCACAUAGAGGGAUACUCCCUCAGCCUAGACACACGGGGGAGGGCCUAGGCCCUGCUCCAAAUGAUAUGACAGACUUUGAAGAUCCUCCAUGGAAAGGGUAUAGGAUAGGGGCUUGGUGGAGGACAGGGGAGGGAGAGAGAACUGGGAUUGGCAUGUAAAACAAGCUUGUUUCUAAGUUAAAUAAAAAA